rfam:Aliifodinibius roseus strain DSM 21986 genome assembly, contig: Ga0134108_102
GCCCAAGUGGCGGAAUUGGUAGACGCGCAUGCUUCAGGAGCAUGUGGCCUUAUGGCCGUGGAGGUUCGAGUCCUCUCUUGGGUA